rnacentral:rRNA from 1 species
UACGAAGGUGGCAAGCGUUAUCCGGAAUUAUUGGGCGUAAAGCGUUCCUAGGUUGUUAGGCAAGUUUUUCGUUAAACCUUCGGGCUCAACCCGAAGCUUGCGAAAAAAACUACCCAACUAGAGGAUGGGAGAGGUCAACGGAAUGGCCGGUGUAGUAGUAAAAUGCGUUUAUAUCGGCUAGAACACCAACAGCGAAGGCAGUUGACUAGAACAUUUCUGACACUCAUGGAACGAAAGCGUGGGGAGCAAAAGGG